rnacentral:rRNA from 1 species
CCUACGGGAGGCAGCAGUGGGGAAUAUUGGACAAUGGGGGAAACCCUGAUCCAGCGACGCCGCGUGAGUGAAGAAGUAUUUCGGUACGUAAAGCUCUAUCAGCAGGAAAGAAAAUGACGGUACCUGACUAAGAAGCCCCGGCUAACUACGUGCCAGCAGCCGCGGUAAUAAGUAGGGGGCAAGCGUUAUCCGGAUUUACUGGGUGUAAAGGGAGCGUAGACGGCAGCGCAAGUCUGGAGUGAAAUGCCGGGCCCAACCCCGGAACUGCUCUGGAAACUGUGAAGCUGGAGUGCAGGAGAGGUAAGCGGAAUUCCUGGUGUAGCGGUGAAAUGCGUAGAUAUCAGGAGGAACACCGGCGGCGAAGGCGGCUUACUGGACUGUAACUGACGUUGAGGCUCGAAGGCGUGGGGAGCAAACAGGAUUAGAUACCCCAGUAGUC